rnacentral:lncRNA from 1 species
CUGUUUCGCAAAUGUCUCACAAAACUGAUUACAUUAGGUCCUUUAUAUUUGGUGUAUGGGAUUAUUAUAAGGUCAAAUGUCUGUCUGUUAAGUAUUAUUUGACCUUGAUCUCAUAUUCAUACUUCAAUGUAAAGUGUUUUUUUUUUUUGUCUUGGUCUGUUUUUCAAUUAUCAUACGCAGCAGGUCAACUACUUAUGUAUUAUAAUCUAUAAGAUGGAUAUGUCUGUGCGACACAAAAUAUCAUACCUUGAUCUCAUUGUCAUGUGUAAUGCUUUUUGUAAUACCUUUAUUUUAGAUACUUUCGACAUAAAAUCAAUGGAUAGUUAAGCCAGCGAGAUAUUUUUCAGGUGUUUACUCUUGUUAGAUAAUGUUACAUCAAGUGAUCAACAAAAAUUGGCGAAUGAAAUGUCAAAUAUAGGUUUUGCAGAUAAAAUUUUCUGCCACAUCACAAUUCCAUUUUAACCAUUUAUACUCCACACCGUCAUACAACUGAACACACACCGAACGAUUUCUUGUAUUGUACUGUGUUUGUGUAUUCGUCCAUCGAGUGUAAUUCAUAUGUUUGGUUUUUCCAUCGGAUGUAAACCAUUUGUACACGCCAUGGUCAUUCUUCCCACCAAUCCAGACAGAACGUGCUGCAAUAAAAAUUGAACAAAGCAUUUUAAAGAAUAACUUUUGUACUGAUUUUUCUGAAUACAAAAACAACAAUCGUUGAAAUAAUUGACAUUUUUCUAAAAUUCUA